rnacentral:rRNA from 1 species
UUGUCAACUGCAGGACACAUGAACAUCGACAUUUCGAACGCACAUUGCGGUCCACGGAUUUAAUUCCCGGACCACGUCUGGCUGAGGGUCGUUCAUAGAUACAAAUCAGACUGCUUUGUCGAGCGUGAGCUCGUCGAAGCGAAUACCUGAGCGUUCGUCGGGACUCUCACUUCUCACUUUUCUCUUUCUUAGCGAGAGAGAGAGUGUGCUGGAGGAGAUGUCGUUGAACGGCGUCGCUUGAAAUAACGAUGAAAUAGUCGAAAGACCAUUCGAGCGCGAGCUUUUCGAACGUUGCGCGCGAAGCGUCUUAUGCGCCGUAGCAGCAGCAGCAGCACGAGAAUCGCGUCGAGUCCCUGAGCUCUAGUUUUUCUUUGUCGAACGACGGAGCGGACCGACGUGCUUGUGCGUGCGUGUUACAGGCUGACGCUUUAGCGCUUUUGCUCGCGUUCGUUGAAUUGUUUUUAUUUUUUGAUCGACGACCUCAGAGCAGGCAAGACA